GGGCCCGUUGCCUAGUCAGGAUAGGGCGCAGAAUCUGGAGAGAUUGCGCAAGCCUUCGGCACCUCUGUAGGUGGAGAGAGCCUGAAGUCGCGGGUUCGAAUCCUGCCGGGCCCG
rnacentral:tRNA from 1 species